rnacentral:piRNA from 1 species
UGUUGCCCAGGCUGUUCUCGAUUUUGUGG